ACGGCUCAGUAACACGUGGAUAACCUGCCCAAGGGUCCGGGAUAACCCCGGGAAACCGGGGAUAAUACCGGAUGGAUCACUUAUGCUGGAAUGCUUGGUGGUCGAAAGGUGACGCCCUUGGAUGGGUCUGCGGCGGAUUAGGUUGACGCCGGUGUAACGUACCGGCGUGCCUGUAAUCCGUACGGGUUGUGGGAGCAAGAGCCCGGAGAUGGAUUCUGAGACACGAAUCCAGGCCCUACGGGGCGCAGCAGGCGCGAAAACUCUACAAUGCAGGCAACUGCGAUAGGGGGACAUCGAGUGGCAUCCACCUUGGGUGCCUGUCCCACCGUCUAAAAAACGGUGGUUAGCAAGGGCCGGGCAAGACCGGUGCCAGCCGCCGCGGUAAUACCGGCGGCUCGAGUGGUGGCCGAUAUUAUUGAGUCUAAAGGGUCCGUAGCCGGCUUUGCAAGUCCCCUGGGAAAUCCAGCGGCUUAACCGUUGGGCUUUCAUGGGAUACUACAUUGCUUGGGACUGGGAGAGGUAGGAGGUACUCGGGGGGUAGGGGUGAAAUCCUGUAAUCCCCCGGGGACCACCGGUGGCGAAGGCGUCCUACCAGAACAGGUCCGACGGUGAGGGACGAAAGCUAGGGGCACGAACCGGAUUAGAUACCCGGGUAGUCCUAGCCGUAAACGAUGCCCGCUAGGUGUCACGGCGGUCGUGAAUCGCCGUGGUGCCGUAGGGAAGCCGCGAAGCGCGCCACUUGGGAAGUACGGCCGCAAGGCUGAAACUUAAAGGAAUUGGCGGGGGAG
rnacentral:rRNA from 1 species